rnacentral:lncRNA from 1 species
UAUUGUUUCUGUAAUAGCUGUAACUUUUCACCUGGUUAACAGACCGGUAAUAGUAACUCUGUAUCGUUACUUUUGCUUUGCUGUCGGAUGGCUUAUAAUAGCAGGACACCUUCCUUGGGAGAGGAUAUGCUGGUGAAUCUAUCUUAGUUGAACCCUAGUUUAGCAGUAGUAGAACUCUCUUGGCGCCGCCAUGGCAUCUUGUACUGAACCCUGAAUUCUCAAGUACUACUGCUGCACUCUGAAUCUUCUUUCGUUUGUUGUCUGAAACUCGUUUUUCCUCUACUUGGGGUCCUUGUUGCUGUCGGAUUUCUUCCGUUCCUGUCAAUUGGUAUCCAGAGCUAGGGGUCCUUGGCGAGAUUUGUUCGCGUCCACAGCCAAAGCUCCGGAAUUAGUCCGAUUGGCGCGGUGGAUUGGUGGUUUCGGCUCACCCGUGCAAAAUCCCACCCUUCCCACCCAAUUCCGUGAGCUACUUCCUAUUUUUCCCCAAAUUUUCAGUGGAUUGGUGAAAGUGAGGGUUGCAGGACGUGUUCCUGUGUAAAAUUCCAAAAGCUUUCACUGAUUUACUCGAGGAGGUGACGGAGGUGAGUUGUUCUGUGACAAGGGUUGUAAGGCUGUGUCCUUGUGUAAAAUUCCGGCGUCACAUCCACAACUCAGGCGGCGGUAGAUUACUUUGGAAGUCUUUCUGGGGCGAGCCUGGCUCAAACCGAACUUCUAAAGCCAAAGAAGAUGGUGACUAAGGAAUCUAAUGCUACUUCCAGCUAUGCUUCAGCUGAGGAGAUGGAGAAAAUUAGGUCUGCUUUGGAUGCUUUUAUAGCGAAGCAAGAAGACCAAAAUAGAGUGUUGGAGUCAUCAUUGGACAAAAUUCUCUCAAGCCUAAACAACCUUACUACUUCUGCAGCUUCUGAAGAUAAGGGAUCAGCUUCCAAAGGGCCUCAUCAGUACACCGAUACUCCACCUCCUGAAAUUCCAGUGCAGGUUCAUCAAAGAGAUCUCUCCCCUUGGUCUGUGAAGGUCCCAGCUGCUAUAGAAGAAGAUUGCCCUUGGAUAGCACAUGAGCUUGAAAAAUUCUAUGCUAAAGCUAAUACCAAUUCUGGUCCAGAUCAAACUCAAUUAGCUUAUGAGGCAUUUUUGGCAAAGCAACAAGCUAACCAAUAUCAUCACCUCAACCAACAUGUAAUUCAUCCAAAUCCCACAAUGGCCCAACAACCAUAUCACAACAACUUGGACUUUCAUCAACAAUUGCACCACCAGCAGAAACUGAUAGCUAAAGGGCCAAAAUUAUCAUUUCCUGCAUUUGAUGGUUCAGAUCCUGAUGGUUGGAUUAGGAAAGCUGAGAAAUAUUUUGAAUUGGUUGGAGUUCUAAAUGAAAGCAGAGUUCAAAUUGCAGUAAUGUAUAUUGUGGGGAAAGCUGAGUUCUGGUGGAGAAGCACUGGUGGUAAUGCCUCUACUGUCCCUUGGCACCAAUUCUGUAAAAUGAUAGGUGAUAGAUUCAAUGAGGAAUCUCUUUAUGAGGUCAUUGCCAGAUUCCAUGGCCUUAAGCAAAAUGGACAUGUCCAAGAGUACAUCACAAAAUUUGAAGAGUUAAUGGGUUUAGUCAAAAGAGAUAAUCCAUCUUUGCAUGAUUCCUAUUUCAUUAGCAGUUUUAUCUCUAGGUUACAAGAACCUAUACAACACCAUCUUCAAUGUCACCAGCCUGCAAGCCUCAAUUCUGCCUUUUGGUAUGCUAGAAGGCUGGAACAAGCUCACCCACCACCAAAAAGGUUUCCACAAUUCAAUCAAACCUAUAGACCAUAGAAAGUGUGGCAGAAAGAUUCCAAAGAAAAAGAGAAAAUUCAAAAUAAUAUAGCUGAGCUCAAAGCUGCUGGUAAAUGUCAUGCUAAAGUGUGCAAAGGAAAAAAAUUAUUUUCAGUUGUAUUGCUAGAAAAGGAAGGGCAAGAGAAGGUAGAACUGGUGGAAGAUGGGAAUUCAAGUGAGGAGGGUGAAUAUCAUGAUGCUGAGCAAAUUCCAACAGUUCAAAUUUCUUUGCAUGCUCUGACAGGUAUUUCUUCUUCAGCUAGAACCUUUACUUUGAGCGUUCAACUUGGCCACCAUUGGGGAACAGCACUUGUGGACAGUGGUAGUAAUGUUUCUUUCAUCAAUGCUAAAUUUGCCAUGAAAAAUAAAUUGCAAAUCUCACAAGUGGAGGAAGUUAAGGUGGCAGCUGCAAAUGGUACAGAGAUGCACAGUUCAACAACCUGUUUGGCUUGUCCUUAUUCUAUUCAAAACCACCAAUUCAGUUCUGAUUUUAGAUUAAUUGAGGUUCAAGGUUUUGAUAUUGUCCUGGGGGCAGACUGGAUUUAUCAACAUAGCCCAGUUGGUUUGGAUCUCAAAAUGAGGGAAUUUUCCAUCACUAAAGAUGGGAAACACAUUGUCACAUUUUCUGAUGAAACUAUUCCAGAAGGCUGCCAGUUGAUCAGCACCAAGAAGCUUUGUCACUUGUUGAAAAAGAAAACAGUGGGAGCUGUCAUAGUCCUCAACAACCCUCAGCAACCUCCUCUUCAAUCAAAAAUGGAGAUUCCAACAGAAGUACAAACUAUGUUGGAUGAAUUUCAAGAUGUUUUCACUGAACCAACUGAACUCCCUCCACAUAGAUCUAUUGAUCAUUCUAUUCCCCUUGUUGAAGAAUCUAAACCCAUCAAUCAAAGGCCUUACAGAUUGCCACAUCAUCAAAAAAAUGCUAUGGAGAAUUUAAUUCAGCAAUUACUGAAUGCUCAAAUGAUUAGGCCAAGUGUUAGCCCCUAUUCAUCUCUUGUGAUUUUGGCGAAAAAGAAAGAUGGUACUUGGAGACUAUGUGUGGAUUUUAGGCAGCUCAAUUCCAAUACAAUUAAGAAUAAGUACCCCAUACCCAUUAUUGAAGAUCUUUUGGAUGAGCUAUUUGGUGCUAAAGUCUUCUCCAAAAUUGAUUUGAGGUCAGGCUAUCAUCAAAUUAGAAUGAGUGAAGCUGAUAUACAGAAGACUGCAUUUACCACUCAUGUGGGCCAUUUUGAGUAUUUGGUGAUGCCAUUUGGAUUGACAAAUGCCCCAGCCACAUUUCAAACAUUGAUGAACAAUGUAUUGGCUUCUUUUCUGAGGAAAUUUGCCUUGGUGUUUUUUGAUGAUAUUCUCAUCUAUAGUACUUCCCUGAAAGAUCAUAUAUCCCACUUACAUUCAGUCUUGGCAGUGCUUAGAGAGAACAAGCUAUUUGCCAAAUUAUCAAAGUGUACAUUUGCACAACCUGAAAUUGAGUAUUUGGGUCAUGUCAUAAGCAAGAAUGGAGUAGCUACAGACCCUUCCAAGAUUUCUAUCAUUCAGCAUUGGCCUCAACCUAAAUCGGUAACUGACUUAAGAGCAUUUUUGGGUUUAACUGGUUAUUAUAGAAGAUUCAUACAGAAUUAUGGUAUUAUCUGCCGACCUUUAUUUGAUGCAUUGAAAAAGGAUGGAUUUGAGUGGACAUCAAAGCAAAUGCAAGCCUUUCAAGCACUUAAGUAGAUUAUGUCCAAUCCUCCAGUGUUGGCUCUCCCAGAUUUCUCUCAACCAUUUGUUUUGGAAGCUGAUGCUAGUGGCACAGGUAUUGGAGCUAUCUUAAUGCAAAAUGGCCGACCUAUAUCUUUUCUCAGCAAGACAUUGGGUCCUAAGGCAGCAGCAUGCUCCACCUAUGAGAAGGAAGCAAUGGCAAUUUUGGAAGCACUAAAGAAAUGGAAACAUUACUUUGCAAGUACUUCGGUCAUAAUUAGAACAGACCAGCAAAGUUUGAAGUAUAUUCAGGAACAGAGGUUAGUGGAAGGUAUCCAGCACAAGUUACUUGUCAAACUGUUGGGUUAUAAUUAUAAAAUUGAGUACAAAAAGGGAAAGGAGAAUAAAGUGGCUGAUGCUCUUUCUAGAGUUGAUCUCAACUCCUCCAUAUAUGCUAUUUCAGUAAUAGUACCAGCUUGGAUUGAACAAGUAUGUGACAGCUACAAAAAUGAUCCUAUCUGUCUUGAUCUGAUCACCAAGCUGAGUAUUGACAGUAAUGCUGUGCCUUCCUAUUCACUAGCUAGUGGCAUUUUGAGGUACAAAGGUAAAAUUCUUAUUGGCCAAGACACAUCUCUGAGGACCCAGCUUUUGGCAAAUUUCCAUAAAUCUGCUCUUGGUGGCCAUUCAGGAGAGCGAGCAACUUAUCAAAGGCUGAAGUUGGUUUUCUAUUGGCCAAAACUACACAAAAAUGUUAAAGAUUAUGUGAAGGCUUGUCCUGUCUGUCAAAAGAACAAAAGUGAGAAUAUUCCCUAUCCUGGGCUUUUGGAACCAUUACCUGUUCCUAACAAGGUUUGGUCACAUAUUUCAAUGGAUUUUAUUGAGGUGUUACCCAAAUCAAAUGGAAAAAAUGUCAUUUUGGUAGUUGUUGAUAGAUUUACAAAGUACUCUCACUUCCUUACAUUAAGCCACCCAUUUACUGUAAAUGAGGUUAUUCCUUUAUUGCUUGAUCAUAUUUUCAAGUUACAUGGACCACCACAGGUGAUUGUCACAGAUAGAGACAGAAUUUUCACAAGUAAUCUUUGGCAAUCUCUUUUCAAAGCAUUAGGCAUUAAUUUACAUUUGAGUUCAGCUUACCAUCCGCAGACAGAUGGACAAACAGAACGAGUCAAUCAAUGUUUGGAAAACUAUCUAAGGUGCAUGUGCUUUACAGCUCCUAGGAGAUGGUCCUAUUGGUUAUCCUCAGCUGAGUGGUGGUAUAAUACAUCUUUUUCAUACUUCUUUGAACAUGACUCCUUUUCAAGCAUUAUAUGGCUUUCCUCCUCCUAUGAUUGUUGAAGUGGUCUUGCCAGAUUGCCCCAAUGAUAGUGCACGAGAGAUUCUGCAAAACAGGCAAUUGGCCAAUCAGCUAAUUAAAGACAAUUUGCUUAAGGCUCAGGGAAGAAUGAAACACCAAGCUGAUAAGCAUAGGACUGAAAGGGAGAUUGAACUUGGCUCUAUGGUCUACCUCAAAAUUCAACCAUAUCGACACACCUCUCUCAGCCUGCAUAAUUCUCUAAAAUUGCAUUCCAAAUAUUAUGGCCCUUUCAAAAUACUUGAAAAGAUUGGCAGAUCAGCUUAUAAGCUACUUUUACCAGAUCAAUGUACUUUACAUCCUGUGUUUCAUGUGAGCCAAUUGAAAAAGCACAUUGGUCCAAGUGCAGUGCCCACCCCUGAUCUUCCACUGGUUGAUGCUGAUGGGAUUAUCAAAGUUGCCCCAGAAGUGAUACUGGAAAGAAGAAUGAUUCCAAGGAACAAUGAGCCGGUUGUGCAGUGGUUAAUUCAGUGGACCAAUCUUCCUCAAUCAAAAGCUACAUGGGAGGAUGCUGCUUUCAUCCGUCGGGUAUUUCCUUCCUUCCAUCCUUGAGGACAAGGAUGUUAAGGGGGGAGCAUUGUCAGGACUCUGUAUGCAGCAAGCUCUGAAUGUGCCAUUCAGAUAACGUUUCAGGCGUCCAAGUGAAGUCGGCAGCUGAAGUGGUCAUUUCGCCGGGAUUCUUUUGAAGUGUCGAUGGCGCAUCGGACGGCUCCUAUUGUUUCUGUAAUAGCUGUAGCUUUUCACCUGGUUAACAGACCGGUAAUAGUAACUCUGUAUCGUUACUUUUGCUUUGCUGUCGGAUGGCUUGUAAUAGCAGGACACCUUCCUUGGGAGAGGAUAUGCUGGUGAAUCUAUCUUAGUUGAACCCUAGUUUAGCAGCAGUAGAACUCUCUUGGCGCCGCCAUGGCAUCUUGUACUGAACCCU